GCCGUCUCUCAGGUCGUCUGUGGCCUGCGGAUCCGUUUUACCCAGCAGUCCCGGGGCCAUGGUUGAAGAGGGGCCGCAGAGUCCGGAGGCCCGCGAGAGCCCGGAGCCGGAGAACCGACAGGUCGUGUUCCCGCUGCUGCACGGCGAGUGUGUGGACCAUGUCGGGGGGGCAGAGGAACCUGUCAUUGCCUUAACCAGCUACCGCCUUCACAUCAAGCUCCAGGAGAACGCCAUCAAUGCAAGUGUUUCUCUCACACAC